UACGAAGGGGGCUAGCGUUGCUCGGAAUCACUGGGCGUAAAGCGCACGUAGGCGGAUUGUUAAGUCAGGGGUGAAAUCCUGGAGCUCAACUCCAGAACUGCCUUUGAUACUGGCGAUCUUGAGUUCGGGAGAGGUGAGUGGAACUCGAGUGUGAGGUGAAAUUCGUAGAUAUUCGGAAGACGACCAGUGGCGAAGGCGACUCACUGGCCCGAUACUGACGCUGAGGCGCGAAAGCGUGGG
rnacentral:rRNA from 1 species